UGGCUUAGUGGUAGAGCGCUUGCCUAGCAUGUAUGAGGCACUGGGUUCAAUUCUCAG
rnacentral:tRNA from 1 species